rnacentral:rRNA from 1 species
UACAGAGGGUGCGAGCGUUAAUCGGAAUUACUGGGCGUAAAGCGUGCGUAGACGGUUAUUUAAGUCGGAUGUGAAAGCCCCGGGCUCAACCUGGGAAUUGCAUUCGAGACUGAAUAGCUAGGGUACGGUAGAGGGAAGCGGAAUUUCCGGUGUAGCGGUGAAAUGCGUAGAUAUCGGAAGGAACAUCAGUGGCGAAAGCGGCUUCCUGGACUAACACUGACGCUCAUGCACGAAAGCGUGGGGAGCAAACAGG